rnacentral:rRNA from 1 species
CCGCAAGGGGAGCGGCAGACGGGUGAGUAACGCGUGGGAACAUACCCUCCGGUUCGGAAUAACUCAGGGAAACUUGAGCUAAUACCGGAUCCGCCCCCGGACUUGCUCCGGGGGGAAAGAUUUAUCGCCGGAGGAUUGGCCCGCGUCCGAUUAGCUAGUUGGUGUGGUAAUGGCGCACCAAGGCGACGAUCGGUAGCUGGUCUGAGAGGAUGAUCAGCCACAUUGGGACUGAGACACGGCCCAAACUCCUACGGGAGGCAGCAGUGGGGAAUAUUGGACAAUGGGCGCAAGCCUGAUCCAGCCAUGCCGCGUGAGUGAUGACGGCCUUAGGG